GACGAACGCUGGCGGCGUGCUUAACACAUGCAAGUCGAACGGAGCGGCGGACGGGUGAGUAAUACCUAGGAAUCUGCCUGGUAGUGGGGGAUAACGUUCGGAAACGGACGCUAAUACCGCAUACUAUCAGAUGAGCCUAGGUCGGAUUAGCUAGUGGGGGAGGUAAGGGCUCACCAAGGCAACGAUCUGUAACUGGUCUGAGAGGAUGAGCAGCAACAUUGGGACUGACAUACGGCCCAGACUCCUACGGGAGGCAGCAGUGGGGAAUAUUGCACAAUGGGCGGAAUCCUGAUGCAGCGACGCCGCGUGGGUGAUGAAGGCCUUCGGGUUGUAACCUCCUUUCGACAGGGACGCGGUACCUGUAUAAUAAGCACCGGCUAACUACGUGCCAGCAGCCGCGGUAAUAC
rnacentral:rRNA from 1 species